GAUUACAGCGCCAAAAGCCUGACCUCCACGCAAGCUUGCUUGCGGUGGAGGGAUAGGGUGUUGGCGCACCCCUACAUGAGUGCGUAGUGGUGCGAAAGCACCACGAGAGCACGAAUGGAGGGAGGAUUGUGGGAGCGCGUAGCGCGGAACAAUCC
rnacentral:sRNA from 1 species